GUGUCAGCAGCCGCGCGGUAAUACGGAGGGUGCAAGCGUUACUCGGAAUCACUGGGCGUAAAGCGCGCGCAGGCGGCUAGAUAAGUUGGAAGUGAAAUCCUAUGGCUCAACCAUAGAACUGCUUCCAAAACUGUUUAACUAGAGUCUGGGAGGGGAAGAUGGAAUUAGUAGUGUAGGGGUAAAAUCCGUAGAGAUUACUAGGAAUACCAAAAGCGAAGGCGAUCUUCUGGAACAGUACUGACGCUGAGGCGCGAAAGCGUGGGGAGCAAACAGGAUUAGAUACCCUGGUAGUCCACGCCCUAAACGAUGAAUGUUAGUCGUCGGGACUCUAGUAGUUUCGGUGAUGCAGCUAACACAUUAAACAUUCCGCCUGGGGAGUACGGUCGCUAGAUUAAAACUCAAAGGAAUACACGGGGACCCGCACAAGUGGUGGAGCAUGUGGUUUAAUUCGAAGAUACGCGAAGAACCUUACCUAGCCUUGACAUAUUUUAGAACUCCGCAGAGAUGUAGAGGUGCCUUCGGGAGCUAAUAUACAGGUGCUGCACGGCUGUCGUCAGCUCGUGUCGUGAGGUGUUGGGUUAAGUCCCGCAACGAGCGCAACCCUCGUUCUUAGUUACUAACGGUUCGGCCGAGGACUCUAAGAAGACUGCCUUCGUAAGGAGGAGGAAGGUGAGGACGACGUCAAGUCAUCAUGGCCCUUACGGCUAGGGCAACACACGUGCUACAAUGGUUAGGACAAUGAGACGCAAUACCGCGAGGUGGAGCAAAUCUAUAAACCUAAUCUCAGUUCGGAUUGUAGUCUGCAACUCGACUACAUGUAGCUGGAAUCACUAGUAAUCGUAGAUCAGCUAUGCUACGG
rnacentral:rRNA from 1 species